UACAGAGGUCUCAAGCGUUGUUCGGAUUCAAUGGGCGUAAAGGGUGCGUAGGUGGCGCUGUAAGUCGGGUGUGAAAUUUCGGAGCUUAACUCCGAAACUGCAUUCGAUACUGCGGUGCUUGAGGACUGGAGAGGAGACUGGAAUUCAUGGUGUAGCAGUGAAAUGCGUAGAGAUCAUGAGGAAGACCAGUGGCGAAGGCGGGUCUCUGGACAGCUCCUGACACUGAGGCACGAAGGCCAGGGGAGCAAACGGG
rnacentral:rRNA from 1 species